ensembl:antisense Gm38204 predicted gene, 38204
AGCCUCUGUGAUCAUCUGACCACCACCUCAUCAUCGCUGUCUACCCAAGACUCAGGACUUACCAGAAUAAACUGGAUUCAGCUCAAAUCACAGAAAAUUUUUUAGACACUGAGAAACAACUCCCUUCAUGUUCUGCUGGAGCCAUAGCUGACCUGGACAUCUGGUACAGAGAGGGAAAAUUUCACCCUAACGCAGCUCAGAAGUCAUUUGCCUCAGUCUGCGUCCCUCAAGAAAAGUGAUGGAGGAUGGCAAGAGUCUUGAAGGUCCAGUCUGUGGGAUCUGGACUCCUCCAGAAACUGAAUAAAGGUGCCAUCUCAUCUCCCAGCCCCGCCCCUGCCAGCUCUUAUCUGAAUUUUAACCUAUAGGAAGAGAGCAAUGGGAUGACAUCAGUACUUUAAAUAUAUCAUUAGAAUGGAGAGCAUCCUGAUUUACCUCCGACUGGGACCAUUGAUUGCUGUGCGGAGGUCAGUGACAAGGAGGUCAUCGCAGUGUCACCCAGGACUGUGCUGAUGGCAGUAGAGGUUAAAAGUAAACCCGGGAGACAUCCAGAGACCUGCCAACUGCCAUGCCACCCAGUUCUGGUGCUUGGCAGGGAAAGACCCCGAGAUCUGCUCUCUACCACAAAGCCCAGACAG